GACGAACGCUGGCGGCGUGCUUAACACAUGCAAGUCGAACGAAGUGGCGCACGGGUGAGUAACGCGUAAUCAACCUGCCCUUCAGAGGGGUACAACAGUUGGCAACGACUGCUAAUACCGCAUACUGAAGGGGGGUAUUGUGUCUGAUUAGCUAGUUGGCGGGGGCACGGCCCACCAAGGCGAUGAUCAGUAGCCGGUCUGAGAGGAUGAACGGGCAAAUUGGGAAUGGGAAACGGCCCAGACUCCUACGGGAGGCAGCAGUGGGGAAUCUUCCGCAAUGGAGGAAAGGCUGACGGAGCAACGCCGCGUGAGGGAUGAAGGCCUUCGGGGUGUAAAGCUCUGUUAAGCGGGAAGCGGUACCGGAAUAGAAAGCCACGGCUAACUACGUGCCAGCAGCCGCGGUAAUUC
rnacentral:rRNA from 1 species